rnacentral:rRNA from 1 species
GAUGAACGCUGGCGGCGUGCCUAAUACAUGCAAGUCGAGCGAACAGACGAGGAGCUUGCUCCUCUGACGUUAGCGGCGGACGGGUGAGUAACACGUGUAUAACCUACCUAUAAGACUGGGAUAACUUCGGGAAACCGGAGCUAAUACCGGAUAAUAUAUUGAACCGCAUGGUUCAAUAGUGAAAGACGGUUUUGCUGUCACUUAUAGAUGGAUCCGCGCCGCAUUAGCUAGUUGGUAAGGUAACGGCUUACCAAGGCAACGAUGCGUAGCCGACCUGAGAGAGUGAUCGGCCACACUGGAACUGAGACACGGUCCAGACUCCUACGAGAGGCAGCAGUAGGGAAUCUUCCGCAAUGGGCGAAAGCCUGACGGAACAACGCCGCGUGAGUGAUGAAGGUCUUCGGAUCGUAAAACUCUGUUAUUAGGGAAGAACAAAUGUGUAAGUAACUAUGCACGUCUUGACGGUACCUAAUCAGAAAGCCACGGCUAACUACGUG